UGGGGAAUCUUGCACAAUGGGCGAAAGCCUGAUGCAGCCAUGCCGCGUGAGUGAAGAAGGCCCUAGGGUUGUAAAGCUCUUUCAGUGGUGAAGAUAAUGACGGUAGCCACAGAAGAAGCCCCGGCUAACUCCGUGCCAGCAGCCGCGGUAAUACGGAGGGGGCUAGCGUUGUUCGGAAUUACUGGGCGUAAAGCGCGCGUAGGCGGACUGGUCAGUCAGGGGUGAAAUCCCGGGGCUUAACCUCGGAACUGCCUUUGAUACUGCCAGUCUUGAGUCCGGGAGAGGUGAGCGGAAUUCCGAGUGUAGAGGUGAAAUUCGUAGAUAUUCGGAAGAACACCAGUGGCGAAGGCGGCUCACUGGCCCGGUACUGACGCUGAGGCGCGAAAGCGUGGGGAGCAAACAGGAUUAGAUACCCCCGUAGUCC
rnacentral:rRNA from 1 species